rnacentral:sRNA from 1 species
CAUAAAUGCACGGUUAUUGUGGCAGGAACAAACCUCCCUCCCGUCCCCUAUUUGACACCAGAUUUCUGCAGUGGUCGUUGCUUUUGGACAUGCGUAAUUAGGUUUGUUGUUGCCACUAAAUAUGCGUGUCAAGUUUCAAAAGGGGCCAGCCAAAGGAUGAGGAGGAUAUCUCUGUGUGUUCGCUGCCCUGACCUGCCCCGGCUGGAAUUGUUAAUGUGCUGGACACAACAUAGCUGGCAACAGGCAGGGGGCAGGGGGUGGUGCAGCAGUUGCAGCAUUUGAUGUCUACGUAAAUCAGAAUGAAACCUCAUUUCCGUUGCAGAUAUUCGCACCCAGUCCAGACUAAUUUCGGGGUUUGUUUAAAUAAUCAUGGCCUUUCAUCGAUACAGGGAAGUCUCCAUUUUGACAGCCCAUUUGAAGUGGUUACGCACCCUUGCAAGCUCAUAAAUUAACCACAGCCUUUAAUUAGUUUACUUUAUUAGUUCAAUCUCAUUGAAAACAUUCUCGGCAUUAUAUGUUGCAAAAAUAUUUACAUUUCGUUGGCAAAACACAUUUCUCCCUGCCUCGACUUUGUUUUUCAGAAAUUAAUUCUAUAAACAUGAACUCCAUACCGUGAAGGGGAAAAAGUAAAAAAAAAUGCAAGAUUUUUCACAUUUAUUCUAACAAUUUGAAAAACUGGCACGUCUGACAGCAGCAGGGAAAAAAAUUGCUGGAAAUUAACUCGAAAAAUAUAAGCAAGCCGCCACGGCCCGGAAAAUUCCCUUAAUUUAUGCAAUGGAAUGUCAAAAAAGCCCAGCGAUCCGAGCCAAUUAUUGUGUGGGGAAGUGUCGCAGUCGAUUUGGAAGUGGCAUGGGCCAUUUAUAAAUGAUAUCCACUGACAGAGUAAA